rnacentral:rRNA from 1 species
UACGAAGGGGGCUAGCGUUGCUCGGAAUCACUGGGCGUAAAGCGCACGUAGGCGGCUUUCUAAGUCAGGGGGUGAAAUCCUGGAGCUCAACUCCAGAACUGCCUUUGAUACUGGAGAGCUAGAGUCCGGAAGAGGUGAGUGGAACUGCGAGUGUAGAGGUGAAAUUCGUAGAUAUUCGCAAGAACACCAGUGGCGAAGGCGGCUCACUGGCCCGAUACUGACGCUGAGGCACGAAAGCGUGGGGAGCAAACAGG